UGUCGACUUGGAGGUUGUUUCCAAGAGAAGUGACUUCCGAAGCUAACGCAUUAAGUCGACCGCCUGGGGAGUACGGCCGCAAGGCUAAAACUCAAAUGAAUUGACGGGGGCCCGCACAAGCGGUGGAGCAUGUGGUUUAAUUCGAUGCAACGCGAAAAACCUUACCUGGUCUUGACAUCCAUAGAAUUUCUUAGAAAUAAGAAAGUGCCUUCGGGAACUAUGGGACAGGUGCUGCAUGGCUGUCGUCAGCUCGUGUUGUGAAAUGUUGGGUUAAGUCCCGCAACGAGCGCAACCCUUAUCCCCUGUUGCCACCGGUUCGGCCGGGAACUCAGAGGAGACUGCCGGUUAUAAACCGGAGGAAGGUGGGGACGACGUCAAGUCAUCAUGGCCCUUACGACCAGGGCUACACACGUGCUACAAUGGUUUAUACAAAGAGAAGCAAAUCUGCAAAGACAAGCAAACCUCAUAAAGUAAAUCGUAGUCCGGACUGGAGUCUGCAACUCGACUCCACGAAGUCGGAAUCGCUAGUAAUCGUGGAUCAGAAUGCCACGGUGAAUACGUUCCCGGGCCUUGUACACACCGCCCGUCACACCAUGGGAGUGGGUUGCAAAAGAAGCAGAUAUCCCAACCAUUUUUUGGAAGGCGUCUACCACUUUGUGAUUCAUGACUGGGGUGAAGUCGUAACAAGGAAACCGUAGGGGAACCUGC
rnacentral:rRNA from 1 species